rnacentral:rRNA from 1 species
CAACUCCUACGGGGAGGCAGCAGUGGGGAAUAUUGCACAAUGGGGGAAACCCUGAUGCAGCCAUGCCGCGUGUGUGAAGAAGGCCUUCGGGUUGUAAAGCACUUUCAGUAGGGAGGAAGGUAGUGUAGUUAACACCUGCACUAUUUGACGUUACCUACAGAAGAAGCACCGGCUAACUCCGUGCCAGCAGCCGCGGUAAUACGGAGGGUGCGAGCGUUAAUCGGAAUUACUGGGCGUAAAGCGCAUGCAGGCGGCCUGUUAAGUCAGAUGUGAAAGCCCGGGGCUUAACCUCGGAAUUGCAUUUGAAACUGGCAGGCUAGAGUCUUGUAGAGGGGGGUAGGAAUUUCAGGUGUAGCGGUGAAAUGCGUAGAGAUCUGAAGGAAUACCAGUGGCGAAGGCGGCCCCCUGGACAAAGACUGACGCUCAGAUGCGAAAGCGUGGGGAGCAAACAGGAUUAGAUACCCUGGUAG